CUGAAAAGGUCUGCGGAUUUAGCCAAACAUUGCUUUUAGAACAGUGUUCUAAGAAUUUGAACCCUACAAGAUAUUUCUAAAUAGUCACCUUCUUAGAUGGAAAGUGAAUAGGACAGCAUGUGGCAGUAGAAGGUCCUAAUAAACAAGGGUUCCUUCAGUGCCGCGAUAAUAGCAUAGCAGCCAGACGCCUGAGCUGUUGAGUUAGUCUUACAUUUGAUAGCUGUUUAGAGACGUAUCAUCAAGUAUUUAGUAAUGUGGAGCAACAAAGACAACACGUAAAAUGCGCCAUAUAUCGAUGACUCUUCGGGGCGAAUCGAACCGUACGAGUCCCGCCUUAUCGGCAUUAACAACCGGACUAAAUGGUCUAAAAUUUUAAUGGUCUCUUCCGUAUGCUCAAGAGCAGCUCGCUAGUCGCCGAUAUCGCUAGUAGGCUGAAAGCGGAUAAGCGUAAAGGUGUACUCCAGAUUUGAAACAGGUUGAAACUCAACAAAGACGAUGAGCGUUACCUUUGACCGAGAACCUACUUUUAAGGUGUCCCAGUAUCUUACUCCUCGCACGCGGACUAAACACGUAACCUGUUGUUUUGCAAAGAAGUAUGCUGCCAGUCAAUCGAAUAUUUUCAGGAAGAUCGAGUGACUUACGCAGUUAAGGGCAGCCAUCACAUCCAGAAGCAUCAGAAAACAGAUCUGCUUAUUUUCAAUGGCGUAGGUGACCCCCUGCCUAUAGGAUACUAAUGCCAGCUUAGUCAAUCGAUACCUCCGAAAACCGAGUUGAAAAAACAGAGUGGAUACUAAGCUCAUUUGAGGAUUCUGGUGGUGAUAUCUUGAGUCGAGAACGAACACUGGACCUCUUGAAUAUUACGAUGUUAUCACAGAUUUACAUAGAACAACAUGUGAACACCGUUAAAAACGACGUUCAGACAUCCCAAAGAAAGAACCUCCCAAAAAUCCGUCUACGACGUCGAUAACGCUGAGAUGCUUGUUUGAUUUAAGUACUUACGGAUGCUUUGAUUAAAAAAGCGAUGUAUAAUAAACUACGUAGAAGCGUUCGUUAAUCACCAGAUUGAGAAGGGCUGAGGUAUCGGCGGUAACUUGAAAAAGAUGACACCCAUGCUCCAACAACAGCAGACUUCGAUCUUCGACAGCCUGCUCAGUUCCUAGGAAGCAGUGCCAUGUUUAGCCGAACGCUACUUCGACUGCUGCUUACGUUGAUACCUUUACGCCGAGCUAUGUGUCGGAGAGCGGAACUGGUAGACGUGACCCUUCAAACGGGAUGCCUUGUAUCGAAGAGACGGGUUAAUGAACUAAGAUACAGGCUUAUUUGUCUUGCAAACAUAAUAAGAGAAGGUAUGAAAUCGUUCAAAGUUCAUACCUUUGUGCUUAUUAGCCGUGAAAAAACUAUGGAACAACUGAAAUAAAAUGUUCUUUGAUAAAAUAUUUGUUGAAGAUACGCACGGCGCGCAUCC
rnacentral:lncRNA from 1 species